UACGGAAGGCAGCAGUGGGGAAUAUUGCACAAUGGGCGCAAGCCUGAUGCAGCCAUGCCGCGUGUAUGAAGAAGGCCUUCGGGUUGUAAAGUACUUUCAGUCGUGAGGAAGGUGUUAAGGUUAAUAACCUUAGCAAUUGACGUUAGCGACAGAAGAAGCACCGGCUAACUCCGUGCCAGCAGCCGCGGUAAUACGGAGGGUGCGAGCGUUAAUCGGAAUUACUGGGCGUAAAGGGCACGCAGGCGGUUAAUUAAGUUGGAUGUGAAAUCCCCGGGCUUAACCUGGGAAUGGCAUUCAAGCUGGUUAGCUAGAGUCUUGUAGAGGGGGUAGAAUUCCAUGUGUAGCGGUGAAAUGCGUAGAGAUGUGGAGGAAUACCGGUGGCGAAGGCGGCCCCUGGGACAAAGGACUGACGCUCAUGUGCGAAAGCGUGGGGAGCAAACAGGGAUUAGAUACC
rnacentral:rRNA from 1 species